rnacentral:rRNA from 2 species
GACAGAGGUGCCAAGCGUUAGGCGGAAUCACUGGGCUUAAAGCGUGUGUAGGCGGAUCGUUAAGUACCUUGUGAAAUCCCACGGCUCAACCGUGGAACUGCUGGGUAUACUGGCGAUCUUGAGCCACCUAGGGGCGAGCGGAACAAACGGUGGAGCGGUGAAAUGCGUAGAUAUCGUUUGGAACGCCAACGGUGAAAACAGCUCGCUGGGGGUGUGCUGACGCUGAGACACGAAAGCCAGGGGAGCGAACGGG